rnacentral:lncRNA from 1 species
CACCAUUAAAGAGAUAACGGAGCUUAACGAUAAAAUAAUCACUUCAUAACAAAAUAAUAACAUAAAUGAUUAAAUUAAAUGUAAUCUAAAGCAAAUAAAUUUACCCUAUUUUUUUUAGGUUCCUACACUUUUCUUUCUCAUCUUGGUCUCUCGAGGUAAAAAUUUGUGACUAGGCGGUGACCUUCGAGCCGUCCGUCGACCUCUUUGCUUCCCCCGUCUCUGUUCUCUUCUCCUGAAGAUUGGUUGCCGACCUUAUCGUCAGCGCCGAACUUCUCCCUUCUCCCUUCCCCCUCCCUCUUCCCUGAUCACCUUCCUCUCUCCCUCCUUUCCCUUGCUUCCCUCCUCUUGCUAAUAUAUAUAUAUAUAUUUGUUUUUUGUUUCUGGAGUGGUUACUAUAUGGGUUGCGAUCUUUGACCACUCUGGAACAAUCAGUUUCCUUUCCUCUCUCACCAUCUUUUCUCCGUUUUCACCUUUUGCUCGCCUCCCCCCUCCACCCCUCUCGUCCCUCCUGCUUCCCCAUGCCAGCCGCUCUCAGUUUCCGGGAGUUUUUGUCUCGGGUUAAAUAAAUGUUGGCCUCGUGUCCUUCUCGCUCCCUCAUUGGAGGUCUUAUCGAGUCGAUUAGGACCCAUUCGCUCAAAUCUGGUGUUUCGAUUUGCUCGAGACUUGUGAUAUGAUUUUCUUAAGGCUUGAUUGACUUGAUUAUUUUCUUGGCCUAAUCUAAACGGUUUAAACGAGUUAGAUGAUCCGAGAUGGACUCUUCGUCGAGAGCAAAUAUCAUACGCCAAUCAACGUGUUUGUUUGUUGAUGGCUGACGUCUUCCUUAGGAUCAGAAGCUCUAGUUGUGAUGGGUAUUCCUGAGAUUUGGCGAUUUUCUCAGUAUAGCUCGUCUGUUGGCAAGCGUUUACACCGUGUUCUUUGAUUUAUUUUUCUUCGAACUUAUGUUUGAAUGUAUAAAAUCUUUUUGCUUCUUUCUUUGUACGAAUUCCAAAUCAAUGGAAAUCUUUCACGUCCAAGAAAAGAAAUUAAGAAUCGGAGCACUAUUAGUGGGAAGAAAACAUUGAACUGGUAGGAGUUAAAUGAUGAAUUAUAUUUAAAAAUUUAAAAAUUUAAAAUAAAUGAACACAGCUACUUAUGGAUUCUUUUUUCUUUUCACUGGGUCUACCUACUAAC